rnacentral:rRNA from 1 species
AGUGAACGCUGGCGGUAGGCCUAACACAUGCAAGUCGAACGGCAGCACAGUAAGAGCUUGCUCUUACGGGUGGCGAGUGGCGGACGGGUGAGGAAUACAUCGGAAUCUACUUUUUCGUGGGGGAUAACGUAGGGAAACUUACGCUAAUACCGCAUACGACCUACGGGUGAAAGCAGGGGAUCUUCGGACCUUGCGCGAUUGAAUGAGCCGAUGUCGGCUUAGCUAGUUGGCGGGGUAAAGGCCCACCAAGGCGACGAUCCGUAGCUGGUCUGAGAGGAUGAUCACCCACCCUGGAACUGAGACACGGUCCAGACUCCUACGGGAGGCAGCAGUGGGGAAUAUUGGACAAUGGGCGCAAGCCUGAUCCAGCCAUACCGCGUGGGUGAAGAAGGCCUUCGGGUUGUAAAGCCCUUUUGUUGGGAAAGAAAAGCAGCAGGUUAAUACCCCGCUGUUCUGACGGUACCCAAAGAAUAAGCACCGGCUAACUUCGUG